rnacentral:lncRNA from 1 species
GGUGCCUUCAAAGAUUUUGAAUGGAGAUGCUACGUUCCUUCGUGUAAUGGGUAUUUUUCUGAUCUAACACAGAAGCAUUGUUAUAAAUGCUAAGAAACGAGAAACUUUCUACGGUAAGGACUCCAUACACA